AUACGGAGGGUGCGAGCGUUACUCGGAGUCACUGGGCGUAAAGCGUCCGUAGGCGGUCGGGUAAGUCGGGUGUGAAAGCCCCGGGCUCAACCUGGGAAGUGCACCCGAUACUGCUCGACUCGAGUGCGGGAGAGGAUGGCGGAAUUCCCGGUGUAGCGGUGAAAUGCGUAGAGAUCGGGAGGAACACCAGUGGCGAAGGCGGCCAUCUGGCCCGCAACUGACGCUGAGGGACGAAAGCGUGGGUAGCAAACGGGAUUAGAUACCCUAGUAGUCC
rnacentral:rRNA from 1 species